AUGAUUCUUAAUUAUUCUCAGUCUACUACCAUUAUGUUAGACUUUUAGAAGUGAACCUUCUAGGAAAGUUGCCAUUUGGUAACCUCAAAGAUGUGCCUUCAAAAAGUGAGUGAACUCAUUUCUUUUUUUUAAAUAAUGGUUCCUUAACAUUUGAAAUACAAGUUCUUGUCUUUGGUUUAUAUAUUAUUGAGGUUUUGGUUUUUAGCAUUUAAAGUAGUUUAAGCUGCAAAUUUCUCAUAUGGCAAAUUUAUUCUAAUCUCUGAAACCAUCUGUUAAUUGGAAUUUCUAUAGCAUUUAAAGAGCUUGAUUUGGAGGAUGUCAAUUACAAUACUGGUGGCAUAGUAGCAAAUCCUAUUAGGAGUCAGAUUAGUCCUAGUUUUUAUGAUCCUUAGCAAGUUUAGUAAAAAACCUAAUAAAACAAUAACAGCAAUGAAUACUUAAAUAGCAGCACUAUGUGUCAGACACUGUUCGAGGCCCUUUAUAAACUUUAAUUCUUGAAAAAACUGGAGGAAACAGACACAGAAAAUUUUCUAACUUGCCCUGGAUCACACAGCUAGUGGUGGAACUAGUAUAGAAACCCAUGUCGCUGGGUCCAGAGCGACAUGGGUCUGAGCCAUUGUGCUCCACCAGCUCUUCCAGUCUGGGGAUGGGGAGCACCGUUUCAGAGCAGCACUUACACCAUUUUUGGCAAGUGGUCAUUCAGGACUCACUGGAGCAUUUCCAUUACAUAUUGGGUUUCUUCUACCAUGAAAGCUAACCUCACCAUUUAUAUUAUAUUCCCUCUGUUUUCCAAGGGUCUUGCUCUUUUGAAUAUUUUUUCUCUGUCUUCAAUCUUCAACAUUCUUUGUAGUACAGUAUUGUCACUAUAUAUUUUUUCCACUUAAUACUGGCUUCUUUCCACCAGCAUUUGAAUGGCAAAUCCCUUAAAAUUUAAAAUUUAAAAAAAUUUUAAAAUUUAAAAAAUCCUCCCUUCUGUGAUCCACCCGCUCGUCGCCUCUUGAGUUGCCUCCAUUCUGCCUCCCCUUCUUCAACCUGUUCUAAUCUAGCCUUUAGCCUUACUGAUUUAGAGAAACUGCUCUUCACCAAAGUCACCCAUGACCUUUUACUAAUCCCAACAAACAUUUUUGUCUUUGUCUUUUGGAAGCCUGUAACUUGGCUGCCCACUCUCUUCAUGCACCCCCUCUUUUACCUUGAGGUUUGUGACAUCUUCUAGCCAAGUUCCCUUCCUACCCCUCUGGCCCUUCCCAGUUUCAAGGUUUCUAGUGACUCUCUGCCCUAGGGAUUUGCUUCCUUCCCACUCUACAGAGUCAGCCUAAGUUUUUUCAGCCACUUGUGUGGCUUCCUUUUCUUGAUAUACAUGUAGAUGGCUUGCAAAUCUUUAGCUUACAGCUCUGCUGAGCUUCACACCCAUAUUUUUAGGUCUUAUAGUUUAUCUCACUUGGAUAGCUUGCAAGCUACCUUAGAUAUGUACAAUCUGAACUAUACCCUUUACAUACACAGACAUACACAAGCUGUUUUUAUUUCUGUUUCCUCUCAGAGAAUCAUCUGUCUACCCAGUUGCUCAAAACAAAUCGUUUUCUGACACUUUCUCUUCCCUUACAUCACCUCUCCCCCAAUUCCCCCACCCCCAACUAAAUACCAUUAUUUUAAUUCAGGCCAUCGUGAACUCAAAUGAACUAUUCUGAUAGCCUCCUAAAUGGUCUGCUGCAAGUUACAUCACCUUACAACCCCAAAGUGAUCUUUCUAGAGUGAUCCUGUUGCUCCUGCUUAAAUUACUUUGAAGGUCUUCACUUUGUCAUUAGGAUAAAGUCCAAACUCUUCCUUGGCUAAGUCUCACUCUACUUGCUUCUCCAACUUUAUCUUUUACAACUUUGUCUCUCCUUGAUAGUUCCAGUCAAGUUUAAGUUCUUUAGUUUACUGAAAGGGUGAUGUGUGCCCUCUCCACUCUGAGCCUUCAUGCUUAUUUUCUCUUCUGCUGGCAUAUUUACCAAUACUGCCAAUUACCUGGCAAAUGUUUACAAUUUUUCAGGUCUCAUCUUCAAUGUAACUUCCUCUGGAAAAUCUUUACUGACUACACCUUGCCCCCCAGCUAGACCAGGUCAGAUAUCCCUGCUGUGUGCUUACUGUAGCAUUUCAUGGCAUUUCUGAAACUUUCCUGUAAUUGUAGAGAUGGCAGGGACUUUGCUUGUGCUGUUCACUGUUGUCUCUCCAAUAUAGCGCCUAGUGUUUGGCACCUAGAAAAUGUGCAGUCAGUAUUUGUUAAAUGAGAAGAUACUACUUCCAAUGGCAUAUUCUUUGAGCACCUAAUUAUUUAGAAGUUUCUUGUGUUAAGUGGAACUUUGUAACUUCUUUUUUUUUGGAGUCUAGCUCUGUCUUCCAGGCUGGAGUGCGAUGGUGCGAUCUCAGCUCACUGCAACCUCUGCCUCCCGGGUUCAAGCAAUUCUCCUGCCUCAGCCUCCCAAGUAGCUGGGAUUACAGGUGCCUGCCAUCACGCCCAGCUAAUUUUUUGUAUUUUCAGUAGAGACGGGGGUUUCACCAUGUUGGCCAGGCUGGUCUCAAACUCCUGACCUCAAGUGAUCCACCCGCCUCGGCCACCCAAAGUGCUGGUAUUACAGGCGUGAGCCACCGCACCCAGCCUGUCACUUCUAUUUAAUGAUUCUGGUUCUAUACCCUAAGGAACACAAAGAACAAAUCAUUAGACAGCCUUCAAAUGAACAAAGGAAUGUGCUCUGUGCUUCUAUUUCACAUAGGGCACGGUGCCUAGAAUUGAACAAGCGCCUAGGUGUGGCCUGACCUCAGAGUGGAGUGGAACCAUCACUAUGCUCAUUUGACAGCCUAUCCUAGUAAUAAGUCAUCAGAAAACAUAGAAUUGCAUAUUCAUUUGCACUACUGGAGAGUGCCGCUCUAAGAAGAAACCCACAGGGAAGAAGCCCAGAAGAGAGGCAGUUUUGUCAUGAACACUUUGAGCCCUUCUUUCUACACCUGUAUUCCUACUUGAGGAAGUCAAGGUAGAUGAUCUGAAUUGUCAUAAUUUCAUAUUUAUUGCGCCACAAGUGGGGUUAACUGAGCCAUACAUGCACAACAAUGCCUCUCCACCUGCCUCCUAUGUAAUUAAGAGGAGCGAGGGUAUUUCUCACUUCUUCCUCUCAGGAGGUAAACCCACCAGAAAGGCCUGCAAUAGGGAAGCACAUGCAGUUAGCCGCUUCACCAGCUGCAGCAGGGAAGGUAUGUGCAAUUUUGGCUAGGAGGGCAGGGCCCUCCCUACUUUUGCAUUCUAUGCUUUUUAGUUAUCAAGCAGAGAGUAACUCUGUCAACACCACUUGCUUUUUUCCUUUAUAACGUUUUGGCCUGGAUCCAAGUCUGUUAGGUUUUAAGUUGCCCCGACCUAGUAAAAAUAAUAAUAUAUAAGAACAACUGCUGUUGCCACAACUCAGCUAAUUCCAUGUGGAUACAGAUAUGUGUGAUGCCUUGGCUUUUGGGUGUCAGCUCUAGGUACUGGGAGUUGGCACUGGAAUAGGUGUGUGCAUAGGCAGAUUCCACUCCUACAUGAGGAAGCAAAACUAACCCUUAAUGAGAUUUCUCCAAAGAAGUUUAAGAUUUGCCUCCUGAUGAACCUGAAGUCAGGAUUCUUUUCAUUUUAUGUUUUAUCCACCCUCUCCCACAUGCCACUACAACUUUACUAUUGUCCAUGAUCGGUAGGGGCAGUGUGGGUCUAGCCUCUGACACAAUUCAGACUGAGGCUGGGCAGGAUAAGACAUUGAAGGAGGAAAGACUUGAAGUUCCAAUUUCUUUAGAAUUUACUUUCUUUAUGGAAAUUAAUGGAAAGAAGGUCAGGUUGCUCAUCUGAGGUAUUUUCUAUUGCUGCCAUUCACUUGGGUUUUCUUUUUUGUUUUUGUGUGGUGCUCAUUGUACAACCUCCUCUGACAAAAGUGUCUCACUAUGAGCUGAGGUGGUAAGUAGAACAGGGAAUGAAUUUCAGCCUUGGGAGAAACUUAGCUUUAAGCUACAGUGAUUAAUAUCCUAGCCUACCAUUUGAUUAUCUACAGGUGUCAGGAUGACACAGAAAGUAUAGUGGAAGGUCUCAGGGGAGUGGAGUCAUGGAAGUGGUAUUGGCCUGUCUUGACACAGUGAUGGUCGUCUCUUCAAGGGGCACACCCACACCAAUAAAAGGAAAGCAUACUGGUAUGGAUUGGUAGAUCCGUCUUUAUUUCCCCGCUUUACAUUUCUAAAGGGAGGGGAAUGGCCCUAUAGAGUAGGAAGAGAACAUUAAAAUAAUCACUGCUUGUCACCUCCUUGCUUCUUGUGUGCCUUCUCCAAGGGAAGACUGGCUAACUCUGAAUGUGACAUUCUCUGGGUCACCUUACCAGAGGUCUUAAAGAAUUAAUGUGCUUCAAAAGCCAAUCUCAUCUUUCAUUGGCUGACUCACAGGGAAUCGCUAAAGCAUGGGAGUGAUUAGGAAGGCCCAGGUAGAACAUGUUGAGCGAGAAGAGAGCCAUGAUACAACCCUCGGGGAAUACCAACUCUUAAGUGGCAGAUGAAUGAAGAGAAGCCUAUGAAAAAGAGUCACUGAGGAAGAAGAAUCAGGAGCAGGGGAUGUUUUGAAAACUGACAGGAGAGAAUUUGAGGAAGUAGUCAACCUUGUAAAUGCAUAAAAGGAUUGAGAAUCAAUUGUCUUUAGCAAUUUGGCAGUUUACAGAGAAGUGGAGAGAUGAGAAGAAGGAAAGAGCAGUUAAUAUAGACUUUUUCAAGGAGCUUGGUUGUAGAAUGUUUGGUAUAUUGCUGGUGUUCAAUAAAUAUUUGUAGAAUGAAUGAGGAAAGGGAAGCAGAAUCUUGGAGAAGUGGCAGCUUCUAUGAAGGUAGAUUUGAACAGCUUGUAAACUGGAAAAGGGCCAAUGGGAAAGGAAUAAUCUAGAAAAUACAAGUGGAAGGAGAGAGAAUAAAAAACAUUUGGAGCACAGAGAACUGUGCAGGGCAGGACUAGAAUUUCUCAGGAAGGCACUUGGUUUCGGUCAUCUGUAGAUAUACUGUGGUAGAAAUCUUUUUUUGUUGUUCCCCACAUAUAUGAGAAUAAUCUGACAAUAAGGUCUAAGAGGACUGUUUUUGAAAAAGUAAUUAGCAUAACCUGGAAGGUAGCAGUUCCUUCUAGAUUUGAUUUUGUUACUCUUGAUCCUUCCAUACCAACUCUUUUCUCCUACCUAAUCUUAACCCUUUAAAAGUAUGUUUUCAUUUCCUUUGUUUAGUCAGUUUUCAAGUGUCAGAGAAAGGGUGGAAUGCUAAGUGCACUGGGACUAAGCAGCUAGUACAAGCCCUGUAUCUGCUAUGAUCCAGUUGUGAGACCCGGACCAAGCUAGUGAGCUCCUUUGAGCCUCACUUUCAUGUCUGUGAUGUGCAGCUACAGGAAGCCAGGUAUCUCCCAGAUUCCUUUCAACUCUGACAUCUGUAGAUUUUAGAUAUUUCUAAUUCUUUAUAGAGAUAGCACUCUAUGAACAGAUGGAUACAUUUGCAGGUAGUACAUAAGAAAAUCUGAUUCUUUAAGUAUUCAAGCUAAAAUUGUUUUAUCACACAGGUGCUUAAUAUUUUAUUCACAUAUAAUAUUUGAAGCUCACCCCCAGAUGGUUUUGUAACCAAAGCUGACAUAACUUUGAUAAGAGGUUGGAACAGGUGGGAGAAAGCAGAGGAAAGUUUAAUGUUUUUCCCUGAAGGAGGAACUGCUGAGCACAAGGAUGAUCUCCAUGCUUAGUCUUGCCUCUUCUCUGCAAAUGCCCAGUUGGAGGGAUGCAGUUGCUGCAGCUGGGAUGAAGGUGAAUCAUUAUUGCUGUGCAUUCUAAAUACCAGUGGCUUUCAAUUUGCAUUUCAUAAGACUCAAGAUUUGGUUACAUGUUUCUAGGGCGUUCAGAGAAAAAGCCCUAGAAAAACGUGUAACCAAAUCUUAAGAGAAUGUGUUUAGUUUGAGCCUUGUCUGUCAUCUCUAGGUCCUGCCCUUAAACUGAACCAUAGGUGCUGUGUGGUGUGAAAACUGUUCUAGAAAAGUUGUGUAUUCAUCCAGAUGUCAUUAGUUCAAUUUACCUAAGCUCUACCUAAAGUUGAUGUUUGCAUGCAUGAGUUACUUUCACAGUUACGAAUGUUGGUUCAGAUUGACAUCACAUUUACAUUUCAGGAGACAACUGGCCCCAUAAAUACCCUGGCACUUGUAGACACGUGCCUCCAGCUGAGUGUCUUAUAGCUCUUCAGUAAGCAGUGUUACACAGCACAUCAUCAUCAUCUAUACAUUCUAGAUCCCAGGAGACUCUAAUAUUGAGCUUGGGAAGGAAAACAAGUAAGUAUCUGGAACGUGGCAACAACAUAUAAUUUUCUUGGGUUCUAGACAUAUUAAAAUUUUUUACUCAAACUCAGAAAAGGCUAGAAGGGCUUGGAAGGACAAGAAUAACAAAACUUUUCAGAGAUUAUAAAUUAAACAUUGUAAUAAAUCAAAUUUUACAAAUGUUCUAAAUGAUACUUUUAGAAUUAAGUAAUUUUAGGCACCAGAAGAAAAGUCAUUUCAAAGUCUGUUAAUGGUACCAAUUGCUAUUAAAUCAUGAAGUUAAUACUGACUUAAGAUACCCCAUAGUUAACCCAUGGUAAUAGCCAUUUAUGUUUGUGACUGAUAAGUAGGUAGAUAUACUUAGAGGUUAAUGUGAGGUUUUUUUAACUUUUAUUUUAGAUUUGUGAUGGUGUGAGUUUUUAAAAUCAAAGAUCACGUCAUAAAAAUAUAGGGUGUGCAUUUUAAGUCUUUAAUGAAAUUUUUAACAUUUGAAUAAAGGGAAAAAUAAAAUUGCUUUCUUACCUUCA